rfam:Gossypium raimondii Chr10_contig_1019, whole genome shotgun sequence.
UUUUAAUUUAUCCAUUUGUACUGGUAAAAAUUGACAUGGUUGACAAAAACCCGAUAAUGAUAUGUGGCAUUCCACGUGUACAUCAUGUUAACAUACAAGAACCAGUUUUAAACAAUAGAAAUAGAUGAAAUUUUUAACA